rnacentral:rRNA from 1 species
CUACGGGUCGCUGCAGGCGAGAAAACUUUGCAAUGUGCGAAAGCACGACAAGGUUAAUCCGAGUGGUUUCUGCUAAAGGAACCUUUUGUUAGUCCUAGAAACACUGAUGAAUAAGGGGUGGGCAAGUUCUGGUGUCAGCCGCCGCGGUAAAACCAGCACCUCAAGUGGUCAGGAUGAUUAUUGGGCCUAAAGCAUCCGUAGCCGGCUUUGUAAGUUUUCGGUUAAAUCCAUACGCUCAACGUAUGGGCUGCCGGGAAUACUGCAAAGCUAGGGAGUGGGAGAGGUAGACGGUACUCGGUAGGAAGGGGUAAAAUCCUUUGAUCUAUUGAUGACCACCUGUGGCGAAGGCGGUCUACCAGAACACGUCCGACGGUGAGGGAUGAAAGCUGGGGGAGCAAACCGGAUUAGAUACCCGAGUAGUC